rnacentral:rRNA from 1 species
GUUACUAGUAAUCGCAGAUCAGAAUGCUGCGGUGAAUGCGUUCCCGGGUCUUGUACACACCGCCCGUCACACCACGGGAGUUGGAGACGCCCGAAGCCGAUUAUCUAACCUUUUGGAAGAAGUCGUCGAAGGUGGAAUCAAUAACUGGGGUGAAGUCGUAACAAGGUAGCCGUAUCGGAAGGUGCGGCUGGAUCACCUCCUUUCUAAGGAGA